rnacentral:rRNA from 1 species
GAACGCUGGCGGCAGGCCUAANACAUGCAAGUCGAACGGUAGCACAGAGGAGCUUGCUCCUUGGGUGACGAGUGGCGGACGGGUGAGGAAUAGUAUCGGAAUCUACCCAAUCGUGGGGGAUAACGUAGGGAAACUUACGCUAAUACCGCAUACGAUCUGAGGAUGAAAGCGGCGGACCGCAAGGCGUCGCGCGAUUGGAUGAGCCGAUAUCCGAUUAGCUAGUUGGUAAGGUAAAGGCUUACCAAGGCGACGAUCGGUAGCUGGUCUGAGAGGAUGAUCAGCCACACUGGAACUGAGACACGGUCCAGACUCCUACGGGAGGCAGCAGUGAGGAAUAUUGGGCAAUGGGCGCUAGCCUGACCCAGCCAUGCCGCGUGCAGGAAGACGGUCCUAUGGAUUGUAAACUGCUUUUGUACGGGAAGAAACCCUAUUACGUGUAAUAGAUUGACGGUACCGUACGAAUAAGGAUCGGCUAACUCCGUG